rnacentral:rRNA from 1 species
GACGUAGGGCGCGAGCGUUAAUCGGAAUUACUGGGCGUAAAGCGUGCGCAGGCGGCGCGUUAAGACAGGUGUGAAAGCCCCGAGCUUAACUUGGGAAUUGCGCUUGUGACUGGCGUGCUGGAGUGUGGCAGAGGGAGGUGGAAUUCCACGUGUAGCAGUGAAAUGCGUAGAGAUGUGGAGGAACACCGAUGGCGAAGGCAGCCUCCUGGGCCAGCACUGACGCUCAUGCACGAAAGCGUGGGGAGCGAACAGGAUAGAA